rnacentral:rRNA from 1 species
AUUGAACGCUGGCGGCAUGCCUUACACAUGCAAGUCGAACGGUAACAGGUCUUCGGAUGCUGACGAGUGGCGAACGGGUGAGUAAUACAUCGGAACGUGCCCGAUCGUGGGGGAUAACGAAGCGAAAGCUUUGCUAAUACCGCAUACGAUCUACGGAUGAAAGCAGGGGACCGCAAGGCCUUGCGCGAACGGAGCGGCCGAUGGCAGAUUAGGUAGUUGGUGGGAUAAAAGCUUACCAAGCCGACGAUCUGUAGCUGGUCUGAGAGGACGACGAGCCACACUGGGACUGAGACACGGCCCAGACUCCUACGGGAGGCAGCAGUGGGGAAUGUUGGACAAUGGGCGAAAGCCUGAUCCAGCCAGGCCGCGUGCAGGAUGAAGACGUUCGGGUUGUAAACUGCUUUUGUACGUAACGAAAAGACUCUGGUUAAUACCUGGGGUCCAUGACGGUACCGUAAGAAUAAGCACCGGCUAACUACGUG